CAGGUAUUUUUACCAACAGAUCAUCCUAAUACGUGGAUUUUAGCUAAAAUGUGGUAUAAUAAUGCUGAUGCCGCUUACCAUCAAUCACUAACACAUCUUGGACUUACGCAUCUUUUAAUGGAGGGAGUAACCGUAGCAACACAUCGCAAUCUUUCACAGUCACAUCCUGCUUUCAAGCUUUUAGCUCCACAUUUUCUGUAUUUGAUAGCUAUCAAUACACGAGGUUUAGAGGUGUUGAUAUCAGAAGGUGGUUGGGUAGAUAAAGUUAUGAACACUGGUAUCAAGGGAAUGUUUGAAUUAAUAAA